GCGAGGGUUGCCGAGCCAGGUCAAAGGCGCUGGAUUUAGGGUCCAGUCUCGAAGGAGUUCAAGGGUUCGAAUCCCUUCCCUCGCA
rnacentral:tRNA from 1 species